rnacentral:rRNA from 1 species
GACAUCAAUCGAGACUCCGUUAGUAGUGGCGAGCGAACGCGGACCAGGCCUGGUCUGAAAUAAGGAGAAGUAUCUGGGAAGGUACGCCGUAGUGGGUGAUAGCCCCGUAUCCGUAAAAUGAAGACCUUUUAGAGUAGGGCGGGACACGUGAAAUCCUGUCUGAACAUGGGGGGACCACCCUCCAAGCCUAAGUACUCCUUACCGACCGAUAGUGAACAAGUACCGUGAGGGAAUGAUGAAAAGAACCCCGAUGAGGGGAGUGAAACAGAUCCUGAAACCGGAUGCCUACAAGCUGAUGGAGCUCUUCGGAGUGACAUCGUACCUUUUGUAUAAUGGGUCAGCGACUUAGUGUUGCGUGCAAGCUUAAGCCGAUAGGUGUAGGCACAGCGAAAGCGAGUCUUAAUAGGGCGUCUAGUCGCUGGGAAUAGACCCGAAACCGGGCGAUCUAUCCAUGGGCAGGUUGAAGGUUGGGUAACACUAACUGGAGGACCGAACC